ensembl:lncRNA
AGUGCCGCCCAUUUGCAGUGCUGGGAAUUUAAGUUUAUGCACAACUAUGACAGAACCCUGCAUCCACUGGAAUCGAGAUCUAGGAACCUUGAGGAAAAAAAUGGCUCUGCUGUGCACUUUUAACCUUGCUGGUGUGAAUCCUUGAGGAAAUGUGCAGCAUGGGUGUGAGAUGAGGGAAACCCUAUCAUUACAGCUGCCAAAUGCAAAACAAGGCCUAUGAAGUUUCCUAGUUCUCUGUGUAUCGACUCAAGCAGAAGGCAGAAAGACUUCACAGUGAAGGAGGAUCAACACAACAUGCUACUGCUGUGUCAUCACUCAACUCCUAGAGAACACAAUGGAAAACUUCUGAUUAAUGACUUGGAGAGUUGGAGUUACGUUCAAAGCCCCAAAUGAGAUGAAAUGCCUUCUUUAAAGCCCUGUGAAAAUGCUGAAACUUGAUUCUGUCCAUCAGUGGCUCCCUCCCAGUGAUACCACAGGAAACUUUGGAGAGUGGUCCUCAGACUAUUUCAUACAUGGAUCUGACGGCUCGUUUAUAUUGUGUAAUUACGGUGAUGGCCUCUGAAGAAGCUUGAGGACCAGGAGUGGUGUGUCUGCCAAACUACAGGAAGCCACAGCCCCUUUGGUUAUACUUUUCAAAUACCUGAAGCCAGUGGAGUGCUUUAUAGUGGAACAGGCAGCUACGAGAACAUGAUAUGUGACAGCAUGCUCAGUGAAUGUCCUCAUGAGUCAAAGAGACCGUCGACUUACCAGAGCACCGCUGAGCAGCACCCAGUGCGUGUGACUCAGACUAAAUAAAAGACAAAAGGAUCUAUCACACACCACUGCUGUCAUCUUAUUCUGAAAAGUGCAACUGCCCAUAACACACGGUA